rnacentral:rRNA from 1 species
GGGUCCUACGGGGCGCAGCAGUGGGGGAUAUUGCACAAUGGGGGAAACCCUGAUGCAGCGACGCCGCGUGGGUGAAGAAGCGCCUCGGCGCGUAAAGCCCUGUCAGCAGGGAAGAAAAUGACGGUACCUGAAGAAGAAGCCCCGGCUAACUACGUGCCAGCAGCCGCGGUAAUACGUAGGGGGCAAGCGUUAUCCGGAUUUACUGGGUGUAAAGGGGGCGCAGACGGCGAUGCAAGCCAGGAGUGAAAGCCCGGGGCCCAACCCCGGGACUGCACUUGGAAAUGCGUGGCUAGGGUGCAGGAGGG